AGGGAGUCUGAGAAGAGGAAAGGGAGCUGAGGUGGGAGGAGGACGCCAUUGCAGCCGCAGCUGGCUGUAUGUGUUCGGGCUGAGGGGGGACAAACGUUACCGAGCGUUACAACUGGGAGAAACAUUGUGGACUUUUUCAGGGCCGAGACAACUAUCGCUGUGUUUUAAUGUGGAAACAAACGCCAAGGAUGGGCGGUUUGCUUCGUGAACGGAGAAAAUGUGGAGUCAGAGCAGCGCAGCGAAGCAGGUAAAGUGGGUUAGUGUAGUUUGGUGUGUUUACGGGGACAAUGGGAGAAAGUUUCGGCUAACCUCAGCUAACUAACGGGAGUUGUUUCAGCUAGCGUUACUGCUAGUUGUGGUACUCACAGUGAAGAUUUUUUAUCAAAGUUUAUCGCUGUAAAGGGCUUUAAAGAAUUCUUACAUACAUCAUUCAUUUGCUCAUACAGUCACACCUUGGUGGUGGUAAACUGCCUUAGUAGUCACAGCUGACCUACCUGUGGCAGACUGACGGAAACAUGGCUGCCAGUUUGCGCCUCUGUGACUCUCACCCACCCAAAAACUCAAGGCAGAUUGUUCAGCAUUAUAGUAUAUUAGGGAAGCGUUAUUAUCUAGCCAAUAGAAGUAGGAAAUAAUAUCCAUGGCAAAUGCUCAUUUUAAAGGAUUGUCAGCCUUUGGCACCGGGAGAUAGCAUCAUGAAAUGACUUUAAUCUCGUUUUAGCCUUGAUUAAGGGAUUUAAUGGGAUAAUUAAGAAACAAGAGUAGGUGAAAUAAAACAAUGAAAAUUUGCAGCCCUAGUAUAAUGAAGAUUACCUUUCACUGAGGCAGGUUUUCUUGCAGCAGGCUUCAAUCCUAGCCCAAGUUGGCCCCAAGUGUUAUCACCAAACACUAGCAGCCUGCCAUUUUCUGCAGACAUUGAAAACUAAUAGAGGUCAAAGUGUGAUUAAACAUUAGAGAAGUUCUUGGACAUGGGUUCAAAAUGAGUGAUUCUUUAUUAUGUCAAUGUGCAUAUAUACUGUCUGAACCUGGGAUGACAGCAGUGUGCUCUCCUCCGCAGGAUACUUGUCCUGGCUGGUCAUUUCUCACCCAGAAUUUACAAGGCACAUUAUCAGCGAAACCGCUCUUUCCAAAUGUGAAGAUGGCCCCUGUUACUCUUAACAAAUACAUUUCUCAAUUUUAGCAGGAGUAGCAGGACUUCAGAGUCGCACUAACUUAUCAACUUCUCUGAUUUAACACCGGCUAAAUCCUGACCCAACCUGCUGUCAAAUCUCAAGCGAGUUAAGUAGCUGCUUGACAGAAAUAGCUACAGGUGCUCCAAACAACCUCACACAGUCUGUGGAAAAAGGUUUAUCUAAUAGGAAGGUAAGUAUGCCCACUAUACAAAUGAGUGGACUACAGUACUUCAUGUCCUGUUUUGAAAGUACUCUCACCUGGUAUGUCCUCAUCUCUCUGUCCUGUCAUCUCCAACGCAGCUCCCCUCUCUCCUCCUCCUCUCGCUCCCCGUAGAGCUCAGCGCUGACUGACAGGUGGAUAAAGGAAACGUCAGAGGGAGGCGUGGCCAGGACAAACAACUGUUUUUUUCUCAUAGACUGUAUAUAAAAUAUAUAAUAUAAACAGUCUAUGGGUUUUCUCAUGUUAGCAAAAGUGACCGUUCUCAUCAAAAUACUCCGUAUCAUGAACCAAACUUUAUACAUGCAAAGUAAGAUAAAAGUAAAAUCGUCUUUUUCUUAUCAUGCCAAAAAUAAAUAAAUGAAUAAAAUAAAAUAAUAAUAAUAAUAUUAAAAUUAAAUUAAAAAUAAAUGUAAUAAUGAUAAUAUGAUUAUAUUAG
rnacentral:lncRNA from 1 species